UACGUAGGGGGCUAGCGUUGUCCGGAUUUAUUGGGCGUAAAGAGCGUGUAGGCGGCCAGGUAGGUCUGCUGUGAAAACUCGAGGCUCAACCUCGAGACGUCGGCGGAAACCAUCUGGCUAGAGUCCGGAAGAGGAGAGUGGAAUUCCUGGUGUAGCGGUGAAAUGCGCAGAUAUCAGGAAGAACACCCGUGGCGAAGGCGGCUCACUGGGCCGGUCCUGACGCUGAGACGCGAAGGCGUGGGGAGCGAACGGG
rnacentral:rRNA from 1 species